GAUCCUGGCUCAGAUUGAACGCUGGCGGCGUGCCUAACACAUGCAAGUCGAGCGGCAGCGCGGGAGCAAUCCUGGCGGCGAGCGGCGGACGGGUGAGUAACGCUUGGGAAUCUGCCUAUCAGUGGGGGACAACCCGGGGAAACUCGGGCUAAUACCGCAUACGAUCUAUGGAUGAAAGCCGGGGACCGCAAGGCCUGGCGCUGAUAGAUGAGCCCAAGUCGGAUUAGCUAGUUGG
rnacentral:rRNA from 1 species